UAACCCUACUUCUAGUUCUUCUGCCCACUUCCUCUCUGAAAGUUUCCCUUGGGGCAUGGCCACCUUUGAUGCUCCUCUUUGGUCCCUCAUUCAGUCUCUGUAUCUGCCCCAUAUUCCCAGGAUCACUCAGAUGUUUGAGGGUUAGGCUCAAACCAGAAAAAGCUAAAACAAGGAGCCCCAGAGUUGUAUGGAGGGAGAGGGAGGCACUGAUGGGGCCUGGGAGCAACUUUCCUCAAACUGACUGCAGUCUGGGGACCUUGAGAAGCUGAGCCCCACCCUGGAGCCAGAAGCAAGAGGACAGAGCCCUUGGGAAUGAGUCCCAAGCCCCACCAACUGAAGAAGUGGAGAGGAAGGGGCUGGAUCCUGUGUCCAGCCAAGUACACACAGACCUGAAACUGCCCCUGCUGACCAGUCCCAGGAAGUCUGCCACAACAUCCCUGCAAGCAUGCUGGGUCAGCCAGUGACAUUGGCUGGUGUCUGAUGGCUGUCCUUCCACCAAUCCAGGAGCUCUGCAGGGAGGGGCCCAUCUCUCCCACUUGCUAUUAAAAGUCAGUGCCUACAAUAGAACCUGGCAGAAAAUGGGCUCAAUGAAUACAUUUUGAUGGCUAUUGUUGCUUAAAGGACUGUGCUGGUCACUUUUUUUGUUGGCAAUGAUACAAUUCGUGACAGAGGCUGGAUACGUGGCUCGGUUGGUAGAGUGCCUGCCUAGCAUGCGGGACGUCCCGGGUUCAAGAGUACAUGAGACACUGUCUUUAAGAAAAGGAAGAAAAAUUGAAAAGAGAAACUUAGGGAAGAGCAUUUAUUUGGGUUCACAGCAGAGUGGUUGAGGCAGGGGCAUGGCAACAGGACUGCGAAGUCACUGAUCCUGUCACAUCCACAGUCAGGAGGCAGAGCCAUGAAUGCUGGUGCUCAGCUAACCCUGUGGCUUCUAUUUAGUCUGGACCCAAUGGUGCCACACACGUUCAGGAUGGCCAAUGGUGCCACACACGUUCAGGGUGGGUCUUCCUUCCCCAGUGAAACCUUUCUACAAACGCCCUCACAGACAGAUGCA